rnacentral:misc_RNA from 1 species
GAUGAAGAACGUAGCGAAAUGCGAUACGUAAUGUGAAUUGCAGAAUUCAGUGAAUCAUCGAAUCUUUGAACGCAUAUUGCGCUCUCUGGUAUUCCGGAGAGCAUGCUUGUUUGAGUAUCAGUAAACACCUCAACUCCCUUUUCUUUUUUGAAAUUGGAGCUGGACUUGAGUGAUCCCAACGCUUUCUUCCAAGAAAGUGGCGGGUUGCUUGAAAUGCAGGUGCAGCUGAACUUUUCUCUGAGCUAUAAGCAUAUCUAUUUAGUCUGCCUAAAAAACAGAUUAUUACCUUUGCUGCAGCUAACAUAAAGGAUACUAGUUCUUGUGCUGACUGAUGCAGGAUUCACAGAGACAGCUUCGGCUGACUUUGUAAACUCGAUCUCAAAUCAAGUAAGACUACCCGCUGAACUUAAGCAUAUCAAUAAGCGGAGGA